rnacentral:lncRNA from 1 species
GUUCUGGUAUCUUAUCUAUGAUGAGUUUGUUUUAAAUAUUUUAUUUCAUCUUAAAUGUUAUAUACUGUUUAAAAUGUUUAUUUUCCUGUUUUUAUGAUGAUUUAAAUAACUCAAAUACAAUACAAAUAUGGAUUCAGAAGGAAGAUUUUUCGUUUUAUUUUAUAAAAGUAUUCAUUCGAUUGGUCCUGUCACAAUAUAUUAAGG